UACGUAGGGUGCAAGCGUUUAAUCGGAAUUACUGGGCGUAAAGCGUGCGCAGGCGGCUUUGCAAGACAGAUGUGAAAUCCCCGGGCUCAACCUGGGAACUGCAUUUGUGACUGCAUGGCUAGAGUGCGGCAGAGGGGGGAUGGAAUUCCGCGUGUAGCAGCGAAAAUGCGUAGAUAUGUGGAGGAACACCGAUGGCGAAGGCAGCCCCCCUGGGCUAACACUGACGCUCA
rnacentral:rRNA from 1 species